rnacentral:rRNA from 1 species
GGCAGACGGGUGCGUAACACGUGGGUUACCUGCCCCGGAGUGGGGGAUAACCGUUCGAAAGGAUGGCUAAUACCGCAUAUUCUUGGUUCGCCAAGGAAAGUUCCGGCGCUCUGGGAGGGGCUCGCGGCCGAUUAGCUAGUUGGUGAGGUAAUGGCUCACCAAGGCGAUGAUCGGUAGCUGGUCUGAGAGGAUGAUCAGCCACACUGGCACUGAGACACGGGCCAG